CCUACGGGAGGCUGCAGUAGGGAAUUUUGCGCAAUGGGGGAAACCCUGACGCAGCAACGCCGCGUGAUCGAUGAAGCCCUUCGGGGUGUAAAGAUCUGUCAGUGGGGACGAAACCUGACGGUACCCACAGAGGAAGCACCGGCUAACUCCGUGCCAGCAGCCGCGGUAAUACGUAGGGGGCAAGCGUUGUUCGGAAUGACUGGGCGUAAAUGGUGUGUAGGCGGUGUAGCAAGUUAGAAGUGAAAUACCUAGAGCUUAACUCAGGUGCUGCUUCUAAAACUGCUAUACUUGAGUGCAGUAGAGGAAAGUGGAAUUCCUAGUGUAGCGGUGGAAUGCGUAGAUAGUAGGAGGAACAUCAGUGGCGAAGGCGACUUUCUGGACUGUAACUGACGCUGAGGCACGAAAGUGUGGGGAGCAAACAGGAUUAGAUACCCCUGUAGUC
rnacentral:rRNA from 1 species